CCAGUGCCACACUGCCCUGGAGUGUAGGCUGUCAGCAGGUUCUGAAGCUUGACGUCAAUCUGGUUCUGCGAUCCCUGGCCGAAGGAACAAACCCACGGUGGCUCCGGGGCCCCUCUGACAAGGGAGCAACUUUGCAGAAGGUCUAGCAGCUCGGUCUUAACAAGCUUCAGAAUCCCAAGGAAAUACCAUAUAAGACACAGCAAGAAGGCAGCCCCAUCUGAAAGCCAGGAAGAAAUUCCUCACCAGAAUCUCACCAGGCUGACGCCCUGAUCUUAGACUUCCGGUCUCCGGAACUGUGAGAAAACACAUUCCUGGCCAGGUCGUGUACAAAACAAGUUCCAAAGAGCAAGACACGGGUAACCAGAGGGCCUGAUGACCAGCCCUGGCCGGCCGUCAGCAUUCAUGUAACCUUUGGCAAAACACUCCCACCUCUGCCCAUACCUUAACUACUGAGAUGGUUGGACUACA